GGCACUCAAGUGAUUGGAAUGCCUUCCAAAGUGAUCACUGACUGAAUGCCCAAUGGGAUCUUCUGGUGUUCUCAGUAUAAGAUAUUAAGUGGAAGUCAUUGGGUCUGAAAUGCAUGUGUGUGAACUGACAACCAAAUCAGAUGAUACCGGGCCACCCAGUGCCACUGUCCAGGCUGCUGUUGACAGUGUUCAUAUGGUGUUGCUCUGGAUGGCGGGGACUUUGGUGAGACCAGGAGGGUAAAGGCUUCCUUGGGCCAACAGAAAUGAAGACACAGAAAACAAGGAGAGUGGAUGCUUGGGUUUUGUAUCUGCUGACAUUUCCAAGCCUCUCCCUUCACAACCUGGGAGUGGUGCACAACAUUUCCUGUGUGAUUCAGGCAACAGAAGUAUGGCUCUAUGUAGCCACUCUAAAGACCGCAAGGCGCCCCAUGCUGGCUCUCAUUGUGUAUAUCAGUCCACCAUUGUUCACAUAGAGGCUUCUGUGAACAGAAUAGAACUGAUCUUUAAUCAGACCUAAUGUGUACGUGAGUCUAUGUCCUGUAUCCUCAGAACAAUUAAGCCUCGAGGAUGAGAUCUGCAUAUAUUAGUGUUGCUUUUCUCAUUGCUGUGAUUAAAAAACGAAACGAAACGAAACCAAACCAAAAACAUUAAAAGUCCCCGACAAAGCAGCAACUUAAGUGUUUUUAUUUUUGACUUACAGUUCAAGGAUACAGUAUAUCAUGGCAGGAAAUUCGCAGCGACAGGAGCUGGAGGCACACUCACGUUGCAGAGACAGCUGGGAAGCAGAUGCAGAACUCAGCUCAUCUACAGCAGAUGUCCUCAAGUGUGCCAUCAUGCUUCUGCUCGGACGAGAGUGGACUAACCCUCUGAACUGUAAGCCAG
rnacentral:lncRNA from 1 species